rnacentral:pre_miRNA from 1 species
AAGGUACUCCCUCCGUUCCGAAUUACUCGUCGCAGAAAUGGAUGUGUCUAGAUGUAUUUUAGUUCUAGAUACAUCCAUUUCCGCGACGAGUAAUUUGGAAUGGAGGGAGUAGAUG